CAAUAGCGUAUAUUAAAGUUGUUGCGGUUAAAAAGCUCGUAGUUGGAGUUCUGCCAGGUGACACUCGUCCGCCCAAGUGGUGUGUACAGGGUGUGCAUCUGGCCCUUUCAAGGGGAACGUGUCUGCACUUCAUUGUGUGGUGCGAGAUCCUUGACUUUUACUUUGAGGAAAUAAGAGUGUUCCAAGCAGGCUCUCGUCGUGCAUAGCUCAGCAUGGAAUAAUAGCAUUGGACUUCGUUUCUACGCUGUUGGUUGCAAGAAGCGAGGUAAUGAUGAAGAGGGAUAGUUGGGGGCAUUCGUAUUUAACUGUCAGAGGUGAAAUUCUUGGAUUCGUUAAAGACGGACUACUGCGAAAGCAUCUGCCAUGGAUGUUUUCAUUGA
rnacentral:rRNA from 1 species